rnacentral:piRNA from 1 species
UGGAAACCUGUGCACUUUGUAGAUGCCCUC